GUGGGGAAUCUUCCGCAAUGGACGAAAGUCUGACGGAGCAACGCCGCGUGAGUGAUGAAGGUCUUCGGAUUGUAAAGCUCUGUUAAUCGGGACGAAAGAGCCUAGUGUGAAUAAUGCUAGGAAGUGACGGUACCGGAAUAGAAAGCCACGGCUAACUACGUGCCAGCAGCCGCGGUAAUACGUAGGUGGCAAGCGUUGUCCGGAAUUAUUGGGCGUAAAGCGAGCGCAGGCGGAUCUGCCAGUCUGUCUUAAAAGUUCGGGGCUUAACCCCGUGAUGGGAUGGAAACUACAGAUCUAGAGUAUCGGAGAGGAAAGUGGAAUUCCUAGUGUAGCGGUGAAAUGCGUAGAUAUUAGGAAGAACACCAGUGGCGAAGGCGACUUUCUGGACGAAAACUGACGCUGAGGCGCGAAAGCCAGGGGAGCGAACGGGAUUAGAUACCCUUGUAGUCC
rnacentral:rRNA from 1 species